GCUUGUUGGUUUUGGAAAUACGAUGCAUCUACUGCUGGUUUCUCCCGGUAUUGGCAGUGAAGAAAUGUCUGGGAAACCACUGAGGGCAAGAUCAACACCUUUGAAGGAAUGGAUUGGAUCAAGCUAGGCGUUGGCCCAUCAUCUAUGGUAUGUCAUUUCCCCGGUUGGGAGCAUCACUGACGCCUUGAUCGAGAACGAGGCCUCUUGCGGAAUAUCGUCAGAUCACAACGACGCUGAAAACCUGAAAUCUAUGCCAAUGAGCCAUCUCCUCCCUAUUUAUCAACAUGUACCUCGUUCAGAGACUUGUGUUUCCAACUGAUUUCACUCUACUGUCUCCGUACGAUUCCGCUGGCAAAGUUGGUCAAUCCUCUGAGCCACAGUACAUGGAACGUAUGCGAAAAUGUUCUGUCUUGUUUGCUGGGGCAGCAACGCCAAGCCUUGGGCUACUCACAUCUUUCGGAAAUUACUGCUGCCCGGUUGUCGAUUCGUUCGCUUCCCAGUUGAAAAUUGUAUCCUCUGACAUUGGGCCAUUUUUGUCGCGAUGCAUCUGAAAUCGUCACCAUCUUUUGCGUUUGUCGCGUAGCGUUUGUGAAAGACAUCCUCGGCCGUCACACCGGACAAGAAAAAGACGAGCAGUGCGAGCUUUUCCUCGUCGAAAAACUUUGCGUUCCAUCUCAGUGAAUUGAGGAAUGUCGGGCAGUUAAGGCGCUCUAUGCGUUUAUCCGAAAUUUCAUGCCACUUCCUGCUUGCCGCUGACCUUUACAGCCAAGCACACGACGUUAUCUGUGAUGAAACUGCUCCGGAAGCUAUCCUGUCUGAAACCUGUCUGGAGUUGGAGGAACUCUUGGCUCUCUUGGCUGACCCGGAACGAUUCAGUACAAUUGCCGAUUGGUACCUAAUAAGGGCGCCCUUUGCGUAAAGUUGAUUGGAAUUAUAUCACAGUCGUCAAAGCCGUAGAUCGAAUUUUAAAGCAGGAUAAUUCCAGUAAAAGAGUGCAACUAGAAUCUCUCCAAGUUGGUGUCCUCUCUACCCGUACCUUCUGCCAAGCACAGGCUUGUUCGCACGGAAAUAGCCCAGAAAGCGGCCUACAUCUUCCAAAAAAUUAUUGAACUCCAGUUAAAGUUGCUAAUUGCAGUAAAAAAAAAUUCAUGGUCAUUUUAGCUCAAAUUUGAACUCUCAUUAGUCGGUCAACGCAUCCGAGGAAUUUGUGGUUCCCUCUCGUUUUUUCCUGCCGCAAUAACUCCGUCAGCUUCCUGUGACGCAGGAUUACUCGCUCUCAGAGCUUAACAACGUUGUCCGUAUGUACUUUCUCGAACUGAAUGUUCAAAAGGUGCCAAGU